GGAGUUCAGUUCGGUUUUUAGCUGUGGGUAUCUGCCUCUGCUUCCAUCAGCCACCGGAUGAGGGUUCCAGGAUGAUCUGGCUGGCUAAGCAGGUGUCCCCUUCCUCCCUCAUGGCUCCAUGUACGUCUGUCCCCAAGCUGCACGCUUCCCCGAGGAGAGGAGGACCUGUCUUCGGGUCAAGGGUAUAUGAGUAGCUGCGCUCCCCUGCUAGAACCUCCAAACAAGCUCUCGAGUUCCUUUCCCAUCGUUAUACCAUUACUUCUGUUUCUUUACUGUGGGAUGGAUGGGCAAACCUAACAUGUUGGAAGACCCAGAGUUUGGCGCUCUGGUUUAAAUC
rfam:Mesocricetus auratus contig026280, whole genome shotgun sequence.